GGCGCAGGCGGGAAGGAAAGUCAGACGUGAAAGCCCGGGGCUCAACCUCGGAAUUGCAUUUGAUACUUCCUUUCUUGAAGGUAGGCGGAGAAAACAGAAUUCCACAAGUAGCGGUGAAAUGCGUAGAUAUGUGGAAGAAUACCGGUGGCGAAGGCGGUUUUCUAGCUUAUACCUGACGCUGAGGCCCGAAAGCUAGGGGAGCGAACA
rnacentral:rRNA from 1 species